rnacentral:rRNA from 1 species
GACAGAGGGGGCAAGCGUUGCUCGGAAUUACUGGGUGUAAAGGGCGCGUAGGCGGAAUGGCAAGUCGGUCGUGAAAUCCUUCGGCUCAACCGAAGAACGUCGAUCGAAACUGCCGUUCUUGAGGAUUGCAGAGGAGACUGGAAUUCCCGGUGUAGCGGUGAAAUGUGUAGAGAUCGGGAGGAACACCGGUGGCGAAGGCGGGUCUCUGGGCAAUUCCUGACGCUGAGGCGCGAAAGCGUGGGGAGCAAACGGG